CCUCCCUCACUCCCUAAAUGAAGCCAAGGGAAGGCUGGGGACCAUCCAGAGGGGCUGAGCAACUGAAGCCAGCUCGACUCAGCCCUGGUGCCCUAGCCCACCAACCAACAAGUCCUUUCUGGUUCAGCGGUUUCUUGCCAGGGUUGGGGUACCACCUUCCUGCAGCCCCCGUUCUGAUGAGCAUCUUCCCUUGCCCUCCAAGUCCUCCUCACAUUCUGUCCUGAACAGCUCUUCUGGAACCUUCCAAACAGGCACUGGGGUCCUUCCCUAACACAGUGGAAGUGGGAGCGGGUAAGCCUGCAGCCUGAGGGAUGCUGACCCUCCCGCAGCCGAAGCCCGGCGCCUUUGGGAGCCGCUGCACUUUAAUGAAAGAACUUGAUGUGCUGAGAGCUUAGCAGAAGCAAAGCAGGCUGUGUUUCAUCUCGUCUAAUCCUCACCGCAGCCCUGAGAGAAUCACUGUGGCUGCAGGACUGUGGAAUCUGCAAAGAAAAGGACAAUAGUUUCCCUACCAGUGUCUUCUGGAAGGCUGGAUGGCAAUGGCAAUACCACUUCUUUCACGGCGCUUCUGAGACCCUCCCUCCAAAAAGCUCUUACAUGUGUGGAUGCACAUGUGUGCACGCGUGUGUAAAAAAAAGUGUUGAGGGCAGGCCUGGCACAUGCAGAGAAGGUGAAGUCCUUAGAGAAAAGCAACUGUCACCUGCCCUUAAGCCCAGGAGGGAGCUCUGGGCUGGCUGUAUCCUACCUAACACCCAGGGGAGAGCUCUGCGUGACCUUGGGCCCAAUGCCUCAACUGUCUGCACCUUCAAGUCCCAUCUGUGAAAGAUCAUUCUGCUACCCUAGGGCCAUGCUGGGAGGGUGAUCCGUGUUGCCGUCAGCCAGUGAAGAAUCUUGAGAGCGUUGACUAGCUCGCACUUAUCCCUCCACCUCACACUGUGGAUCCCAGCAACUACUUUCCCCCAAGGGAAAUGUGAGGCGCAGAGAUGUUUGGAAGCAGCCAGCAGGCACUAGAGCCACGACUUUCACCAGAGAAGCUAGAGGCCAGAGCCUAGACUUCACACACAUCCCACAGGACCUCUUCUGGUCACUAUACUAGGGGCUGCCCUCAGGGGCCUCCUACAGCUGCCAUGGGAGAAAACAGACGGUCGUUCAUUUCUUUCUUGUGUGUGCGUGUGUGUGUGUGUGCACGCGCGUGUGCCACAUGGAGGUCAGGAGAUGACUUCAAGGAGUCUGUGCCCCACCUUCUUUGAGACAGAGUCUCUCUCGCCACUGCAAACGAAGGAGCUUUGGAUGCGUUUGGCCUCCCGUUGUCAGAGGCACUGGGAUCAGAGAUGCAGCUUGCUUUCUUCUGUGGGUGCUGGAGAAUUGAGCCCAGACCAGCAGGCUUUGCAGGCAAGUGCCCUUAAUGGCUGAACUCUCUCCCCAGCCCCACUGAGAGACCAGAGCUGUAUAGAUUCAACUCCUUGGAUCUUACCCUGUCUGUAUAUACAAGGGGCCUGGGGCGCCCCCAGUUCCUGUGCUGUCCUGACAGCAACCAUUCUAAAAGAACUUUCCUCCAGUACUCCCAAGCACAGAGUUGUACAAACUACAGAUGUGACUGGCUAUGCACACAUGAACAUACGUCUAUUACACACACACACACACACACACGAAUUCUGAACAGUCUGUGGUGGUUUGAAUCAGAUGUCUCCCAUAAACUCAUGCGUUCUGAA